rnacentral:rRNA from 1 species
GAUGAACGCUAGCUACAGGCUUAACACAUGCAAGUCGAGGGGCAGCAUUUCAGUUUGCUUGCAAACUGGAGAUGGCGACCGGCGCACGGGUGAGUAACACGUAUCCAACCUGCCGAUAACUCGGGGAUAGCCUUUCGAGAGAAAGAUUAAUACCCGAUAGUAUAAUGAAACCGCAUGGUCUUAUUAUUAAAGAAUUUCGGUUAUCGAUGGGGAUGCGUUCCAUUAGGCAGUUGGUGAGGUAACGGCUCACCAAACCUUCGAUGGAUAGGGGUUCUGAGAGGAAGGUCCCCCACAUUGGAACUGAGACACGGUCCAAACUCCUACGGGAGGCAGCAGUGAGGAAUAUUGGUCAAUGGCCGGAAGGCUGAACCAGCCAAGUCGCGUGAGGGAAUAAGGCCCUAUGGGUCGUAAACCUCUUUUGUCAGGGAGCAAAGGCGUCCACGUGUGGACGAAAGGAGAGUACCUGAAGAAAAAGCAUCGGCUAACUCCGUGCCAGCGGCCGCGGUAAUACGGAGGAUGCGAGCGUUAUCCGGAUUUAUUGGGUUUAAAGGGUGCGUAGGCGGAGUGUCAAGUCAGCGGUAAAAUUUCGGGGCUCAACCCCGUCGUGCCGUUGAAACUGACGCCCUUGAGUGAGUGAGAAGUAAGCGGAAUGCGUGGUGUAGCGGUGAAAUGCAUAGAUAUCACGCAGAACGCCGAUUGCGAAGGCAGCUUACCGGCGCUCAACUGACGCUGAGGCACGAAAGUGCGGGUAUCGAACAGGAUUAGAUACCCUGGUAGUCCGCACAGUAAACGAUGAAUGCUAGAUGUCCGGGGCGAAUGAGCUUUGGGCGUCACAGCGAAAGCGUUAAGCAUUCCACCUGGGGAGUACGUCGGCAACGGUGAAACUCAAAGGAAUUGACGGGGGCCCGCACAAGCGGAGGAACAUGUGGUUUAAUUCGAUGAUACGCGAGGAACCUUACCCGGGCUCAAACGCCUCAGGAAUCAUUUGUGAAAGCAGAUGAGUCUUCGGACCUGAGGCGAGGUGCUGCAUGGUUGUCGUCAGCUCGUGCCGUGAGGUGUCGGCUUAAGUGCCAUAACGAGCGCAACCCCCACCGACAGUUGCUAACUGGUUAAGCAGAGGACUCUGUCGGGACUGCCGUCGUAAGAUGUGAGGAAGGUGGGGAUGACGUCAAAUCAGCACGGCCCUUACGUCCGGGGCUACACACGUGUUACAAUGGGGGGUACAGAAGGCAGCUACCUGGUGACAGGAUGCUAAUCCCAAAAGCCUCUCUCAGUUCGGAUCGAAGUCUGCAACCCGACUUCGUGAAGCUGGAUUCGCUAGUAAUCGCGCAUCAGCCAUGGCGCGGUGAAUACGUUCCCGGGCCUUGUACACACCGCCCGUCAAGCCAUGAAAGCCGGGGGUACCUGAAGUACGUAGCCGCAAGGAGCGUCCUAGGGUAAAACUGGUAAUUGGGGCU